AUUAAACAUUUUUAAUAAAGUAAAAGUCAGUGUCAACCCCCAAAUUUAAUUACCAAUUUAUUAUAUAAUUUUAGGAUUACCACCAAAUCUAUUAUAAAUUUUUUUUUCUGAGCCUCAAUUAAUUUUAACCACCAGAAUUAAGGAAAAAAAAAUCUCUCAAUUCUAGAUUCAAUUUCAUUCCUCAUUCAGCAGCGACAUUCUUCUUCCAUGUUCCUAAAAAACCCAAUCUCGCAAUUCAAGUUCAAUUCGCAAAUUACAUCACAAAAUCAGUCGUUAAUUCGAUUGUCAUCUGGGGUUCUAAAACUCGCGCUUUCAAUAAGUUUUGAGCUGUGUGGUAUCUUGGCGCUUGGGCAGCAGGUGAGUUGUGUGGGCUUCACUAAGGUAGGGGUGGAAUAAACAUUUUGCUUCAGACAUUUCAGCUUCUAUUUGCAUUUACAAAAGCUUCAAAUAACGUUUAAGAAAGACAGAGUGAAACAAAAGAUCACAAUCAUAAUGGAAGCAAGAUCUAGAUGGUAGAAUAUGAGAAACUUAGACAAAAACUAUAGAACAAAAUAGAAUCAGAAUUAAGGAUUUAGGGGUUACAUCCAUGGCUUAUGAAAUGAAGCAGUCGAUGAAGGGAUCGAAACAAUCUAAAAAAAGGAAGAAAGUGACUAAAGAUACUGACGAGUAUACACCUGAUGAAGAGGGUGAACUGAACCACUCAAGUGAAGAGGAUGAAAAUGAUAUACGGAAAAAUGCUGUAAACUUGAGGUCACGUUCAAAGAAGGUUGUGGCAUUGAGAGGGAAGAUAACCCCAAACAUUAAGGACACAACAUGUGUCUCUUCAGUACCAAUGGCUAAUCGAACGAAGAUGCAUCUUCAAACCACCGAGAGACAACACUUAGAUCAAGGAUUAUAAGGGAGAGAUUCAACGCAAAGAAAAAUCCAAUUGGACAAUGUUACUACACAGAAAAAAUCAGCAGUCCAUAAUCAGCAAGAGAAAGAGGUUGAGAUUAGGAAUGGUGUCCAAUUUAAGACAGGGCAGAGUAGGACAGUGGUUGAUCUGGUUCACUCAGUGCUUAUAGGCAAAUGAAAACACAGUUGCUAGAAAAAGAGUGGAGAGCAAAACAAAGUGAUUUAUUACUACGACGACAACUACGACCUAUUAACAUGGCUAGUUCACAAAGUUUUUCACAACCACAAAGAUUUGGACAUGACUUACAAGAAGAUUAUGAGAAUCAUAUGGGUUCAAAUGAAUGCAAUUUGGAACAAUAUGUAGAUGAAAAAGAUGAGUUUAGUGAUGAUUUGAGUACUCUUACCCCAAUGGAGCUAGGAAUGCAAGAUGAACCACUAAUGAAUGAAGAGCACGAAACUGAAAAAAUAGGUAAUGAUCACUAUCAUUCCAUUCUAAAUAUUUCAAGAUAGAUAUGUUAAGAGCCAUAUGUGAUUUUAAUGACUUAUUUGAGUUAAUGUUCAUAUAGCACUUCCAAAAAGUAAGUGAACUAGAGGAACAACUAUGUGUAAAGAUGUCUAUGAAUGGACAUUAGAGGAGCAUAAUCCUAUUGUUCUUAAUGAAAUGGGAAAUCCUAUAGGUCCCGAUGAUAAGAUUAUAAAUACAUUUACAAGAUUCUUAGGGACCUUAGCUCGUAAUUCUUCUCUAGCGCUGUUGAACAAGAUUAGUUGUCAUUAUGUGCCAGACAAAGAACAAAUUUGGAGUUACGUGAAGAAGAAAUACAUUAUCCUAGAAAAAGGUAAAGAUUGUGUGUUGUCAUCCGUGGGAAGACUUUGGCGUAGAUAUAAAUGUAGUGUAAAGGCCACAAACUUUACUCUGUACGAAAAUGAUGAUGAUAGGUUGGCAAAUCCACCUAAUACAAUUCCAGAAGCACAUUUCAAAGAGUGGCUAGAAUUUUGGAAUUUGGAACCAGUCCAAGGUAAAGUUAUGUUGUUAGUUUCCAUUUAUAUUAUAAUUGCUUAUUUCCCUCUCAAAAUGAAAUAGGUUAAGCUAUGAACCGUGUGUUAUGCAUGCAUGAAAGAAGACAACAAAAAGAAAAGGGAAAUAAGUAAAGAUAAAAAAGAUAGGCACACUAUGGGUCCUAUGACUUUCGCAAGGAAACAACAUAAAUUGCAACAACUAGAUGUUGAAAACAACCCACCAUCCUUAGCACUCAUGUACAAAGAAAGUCGUAAAAGAACAGCAGACAAAAAAUACAAAACAUCUUGUGAGCCCACCCAAAGUAACAUUGACAAGAUGGAGGAGGUACAAAUUCAAAGUGAAAUUGAUGGAGAUUUUGCAUACUAUGAAGUAAUGAAUAAACAUAUAACUUUGGCCAUAGAAAAAAAGCAACCAGAGAUAUGUUCACUAAGGGGAAAGAGCAACAAACCAAUAAUUCCCGAUGAGUUCGUUCUUAAAGCCCUAUAAAGACCAAAUUGUGAAAGAAACUAUAGCAAAAUUAAUGAAGACGCUCAAGAAAAUUGAUCAUGAAGUGUUGGAUACUUUGACUCGAUCACUUGAAAAUGUGUCAUCCAAUCCAGAACCUACAUAUCAUAAUCCCAUUGUGCACUCUAGUGAACAACAGCUAAAUGAGGACCAAUUGGAUCAAGAUGAAGAAUCGGGAUAAGAAUUUAUGAUGUUGCAAGAACUUGGUUUUACCGCUGUUUUGCUGCUGUUUUUUUGCAGUUACUGUUGUUGCUGCCAACUUUGGGUGCUGCUGUCUAUUGUAUGCUUUUAGCUGUUUUGCUAUUACUCUUGUUGUUGCUGCUGUUUUUUCUGUUACUGCUAUUUUUGCUGUUGUUUUUUCUGUUACUGCUAUUUUUGCUGUUGUUUUUGCUGCUUCGGUUUGCUGCCACUACUCUCUGCUACUAUAAGUUGCUCCAACUGCUGUCUGCUACUGUUAGAUGCUGCCACUCAUGUGUGCUACUGCUAGUUGGUGCAAAAGACUGCUGUUAGCAGAUUCUGUUACUCCUUCUAUUCUGCUAGCUGUUGUUAUAAGUUGUUAAUAAUUCUCUUUACUAUUAUGACUAACUUUUGUGAAUUUUGAACUUUUUUGUUUCCAAGCUAGAGAUCGAACUUAAUUUAA